AACGAACGCUGGCGGCAUGCCUAACACAUGCAAGUCGAACGAACCCUUCGGGGUUAGUGGCGCACGGGUGCGUAACGCGUGGGAAUCUGCCCUUUGCUUCGGAAUAACUCAGGGAAACUUGUGCUAAUACCGGAUGAUGUCUUCGGACCAAAGAUUUAUCGGCAAGGGAUGAGCCCGCGUAGGAUUAGGUAGUUGGUGGGGUAAAGGCCUACCAAGCCGACGAUCCUUAGCUGGUCUGAGAGGAUGAUCAGCCACACUGGGACUGAGACACGGCCCAGACUCCUACGGGAGGCAGCAGUGGGGAAUAUUGGACAAUGGGCGCAAGCCUGAUCCAGCAAGGCCGCGUGAGUGAUGAAGGCCCUCGGGUCGUAAAGCUCUUUUACCAGGGAUGAUAAUGACAGUACCUGGAGAAUAAGCUCCGGCUAACUCCGU
rnacentral:rRNA from 1 species